UUUUGUAAACCGAAAACAGAUGGUUGCACCCUAACUUUUCUGAUGCUUCGUCAUCUGUAAAGGGCCGUUGCCUGCCCAAUUGUAUCUGACUUUUCCACAUGCUGUAAUUUAGAUUCUGACAUAUGUAUGCCUCCCCUUCCCUCUCUGUAGCAUCGCAGAAAUGAGAGAUGGCAAGUGACAGGCCAAUCCUCCCUUCCCCUGCAGUCCCCUGCAGUCCCCUGCAGGAGAACACUGAGGUCUUCGUAGCGUCAGUACUUUCUUCUCCAGAAAAAAGGCCAGUUGGCGAUGCUCCAAACAAUCUGGCCUGAUGCGAGCAGGCUCCGUGCCCAGGACGCCCUCAGCAACAUGGACACAUGAGAUCUAAAUUCCUUCACUGUUUCAGAAUUCACUGGAUAUGAUCAAGGACUGCUAUUUCUUGGUAAUGCCCUAGGAGCUUCUAUGACGGCCCACGAAUGAGUGUUUUGGAAAGAUUAGCAUGCUCCAAGGGAGUGGAAGCCCUCUGUGUCCUACCCUGGGCUGCACUGCAGUGAAAACUCCAGUAAAAUUCCACAGCUGUGACUCCCAGGGUACAGAGGUG
rnacentral:lncRNA from 1 species